rnacentral:antisense_RNA from 1 species
GAGGAUGUGGAUGCUGUUGAUCUGCGGCCCACACUUUGAGAAGUACACAGGUGACAGCUGUGGUGGAAAGAACUCCAAUCCAGGAAUCAAAACAUGUCUUCACAUUUUGGCCAUGGAACUUGGGGGUCUUGCUUUGUUGCUCAGGCUGGAGUACAGUGGUGCAAUCUUGUCUCACUGCAGCAUCGACCUCUGGGGCUUAAGCCAUCCUGCACUUCAGCCUCCCAAGUAGCUGGUACUACAGCUUUGCCUCCUCCAGGAGAUGCAACAACAAGGCGCCAUCUUGGAAGUAAAGACCAGGCCCUCACCAGACACCAAACCUGCUGGUGCCUCGAUCUUCAACUUCCAGCCUCCAGAGUGUCAUGGUUUCUGGAAGAAAAGACUCAAGAUGUUUUCAGUAGCUGCCGUUUUCAGACAUCAUGAAAGUUUUCUCCUACCCUCUAUAAAAACAAACAAACAAUAAAACUCUACAAAGGAAAAGCGCAAAAAACAUGCUGACUUUAGAAGAAUCCAUGAUUUAGAAUAUUUUUAUAAAUAUCUAAGAAAACAGGAGUCCUUUCCAUAUAUAUGGUCCUUGGAGAUACUUUCCAUAUAUAUGGUCCUUGGAGAAUCCAGUUUUUAUGAGAAAGGUGAUUUCCAAAAUCUCUUACACUUUACAAUUUCAAUUUUGGCCUGAGCAUAUCUCUCGAUUGAUCUACCUACCUACAUACUGAUCUAUCUUGGAU